rnacentral:rRNA from 1 species
CAAUAGCGUAUAUUAAAGUUGUUGCAGUUAAAAAGCUCGUAGUUGGAUUUCUGAUCGAGACAUCAGGUCGGGUCCGAGAGGAUCAUGUACUUUGAUUUUGUUUUGAUCAUCCUUGGGGAGAGCAUUUCUGGCAUUCAGUUGUCGGGAUUGGGAUCCUCAUCGUUUACUGUGAAAAAAUUAGAGUGUUCAAAGCAGGCCUCGGCCUCUGAAUACAUUAGCAUGGAAUAAUAAGAUAGGACUUUGGUGGUCUAUUUUGUUGGUUUGCACGCCAAAGUAAUGAUUAAUAGGGAUAGUUGGGGGUAUUCGUAUUCAAUUGUCAGAGGUGGAAUUCUUGGAUUUAUGGAAGACGAACUACUGCGAAAGCAUUUACCAAGGAUGUUUUCAUUAA